rnacentral:rRNA from 1 species
AUUGAACGCUGGCGGCAGGCCUAACACAUGCAAGUCGAACGAUCGGCGGACGGGUGAGUAAUGUAUGGGGACUGCCCGCUAGAGGGGGGUAACUAAUGGAACCGGUAGCUAAUACCGCAUACUAUCGGAUAACCCAUAUGGGAUUAGCGAGUAGGUGAGGUAAUGGCUCACCUAGGCGACGAUCCCUAGCUGGUCUGAGAGGAUGCUCAGCCACACUGGGACUGAGACACGGCCCAGACUCCUACGGAGGCAGCAGUGGGGAAUAUUGCACAAUGGGCGCAAGCCUGAUGCAGCCAUGCCGCGUGUAUGAAGAAGGCCUUAGGGUUGUAAAGUACUUUCGGUCGGGAGGCGUUACCGACAGAAGAAGCACCGGCUAACUCCGUGCCAGCAGCCGCGGUAAUUC